rnacentral:sRNA from 2 species
UAGACUUGGUAAGGAAGCAGGGGAUGGUAAGCAAAUAAGGGGACACUUCAACGACGAGAAUAACGAGAUUAUUGAUAUUUCUGAAUAACGGGAAGAAAGAAUUUUUGGCAGUAGAGGAGGUAUUAAAUUAGCAAAUAAAAAGGGGCCCUGAAACUUUGAAACAGGGCAGCUGGGGUGGAUAAGCGGGUUUUAUCUGUAAGACGUUCUCUAAAACUGUACUAAAAUGAGAAAGAUGUUGGCAGGCCCUGUAGAAAAUGUGUAAUACCGGAUAGAAAGGGAAAGGCAAAUAAAACAAGAAAAAAAAAUGAAAAUGAAAAAUGGCAGGAAGGGAAUUACUACGGACUUGAGGCAUAAUGGGUUCUGAAAGGCAAUCUAGGGGGGGAGAAGUGAGAGGGAAACAAUAUCAUCCAUCCGUCACCUCUCGGAAUAUAGAUAUGAAAACAACCUGAAUGAAGAAAAAAAAAAAGAAGGGGGAACGGGAGGGAGAAGAGGGAAGGGGGAGAGAGAAAUCACAUAAAGUCAUCAUCACCCAAAUCAUCCCCAUCAUACGCCGUGAGAUCAGCGCCG